CAGGUAGGAAAGCUCAUCGCUUUUUUUCAUAGAAAAGAGGAAAGUCCGGGCUCCGCAGAGCAGAAGGGCAGCCAACGGCUGCUGAAGGUAACUUCAAGGAAAGUGACACAGAAAACAAACCGCCGGUUUUCCGGUAAGGGUGAAAAGGCGGUGUAAGAGACCACCGGUUUUUCAGGAGACUGAAAAAGCCUGUCAAACCCCCUUCGGAGCAAGACCAAGUAGGAAAGGACAAGGGCUGCUCGUCCGUCUUUCAGGGUAAGUCGCUCGAGAAUAUAAGUGAUUGUAUUCCCAGAUAAAUGAUGAGUUGAUACAGAACCCGGCUUAUUUCAUACCUGAUUG
rnacentral:RNase_P_RNA from 1 species